rnacentral:rRNA from 1 species
GACGAACCGUCCAAACGUUAUUCGGAAUUACUGGGCUUAAAGGGUGCGUAGGCGGCGCGGAAAGUUGGGUGUGAAAUCCCUCGGCUCAACCGAGGAACUGCGCUCAAUACUACCGUGCUCGAGGGAGAUAGAGGUGAGCGGAACUUAGGGUGGAGCGGUGAAAUGCGUUGAUAUCCUAAGGAACACCGGUGGCGAAAGCGGCUCACUGGAUCUCUUCUGACGCUGAGGCACGAAAGCUAGGGUAGCGAACAGG